GACGUAGGGUGCGAGCGUUGUCCGGAUUUAUUGGGCGUAAAGAGCUCGUAGGCGGCUUGUUGCGUCGGCUGUGAAAUCCCGAGGCUCAACCUCGGGUCUGCAGUCGAUACGAGCAAACUAGAGUGUUGCAGGGGAGACUGGAAUUCCUGGUGUAGCGGUGAAAUGCGCAGAUAUCAGGAGGAACACCGGUGGCGAAGGCGGGUCUCUGGGCAGCAACUGACGCUGAGGGGCGAAAGCGUGGGGAGCGAACGGG
rnacentral:rRNA from 1 species